rnacentral:rRNA from 1 species
CUCACGCCUCUUGUCAAGAAGAUGGCCAAGCGCUUGGGCUCCUGGCAGGCAUGCCUCCUCUCUCGCGGCGAGCAUCUCGCCCUCGUCCGCCACGUCCUUUCUGCCAUGCCAGUGCAUCUGUUGCUCGCCAUGACCCUCUCUGCCCUGAUCCUCAAGCUUAUCAAUCGUCUGAUCCGGGAUUUCUUGUGGCAUGGCCGCAAAGAGGCUCGCUCAGGUAACUGCCUUGUCAACUGGCCGCGCAUCUGCCGCCCUCUUGAGCUCGGCGGCCUGGGCAUGCGUGAUAUUCAGCGCACCGGCAUCUCCCUCCGCGUUCACUGGCUAUGGCUGCGCAUCACCGACCCAUCCUGUACCUGGCACCACCUCCACCUGCCGGAUGACGCCAGCGUCCGCGACAUCUUCCGGGCAUCCACCACCUGGACCGUUGGUGACGGCCACACUUGUUGUUUCUGGACUGACCGCUGGGUGGAUGGCAAAUCCAUUGCCGAGCUUGUGCCGCACCUGGACGCGCUUGUCCCUCGUCGCCUCCGCGCCAAGCGCUUGGUCCAUGAUGGACUCCAGAAUCGGGCUUGGAUCCAUGAUAUCCAUGGCGCGCUGAACGUGGUGACCACUGUCGAGUACGUCCAACUCUGGAGGCAUCUUCUACAGGUGACUCUCUCCCCCAGCCCGACUCGUUACGCUGGCGCUGGACCGAUAGCGGCUCUUACUCGGCCAAAUCAUGCUACCACGCCCUUUUCCAAGGCUCAAUCGAUGACCCGGAGUGGAGGAUCACUUGGAAAUGUUGGGCACCAGACGACAACAAGAUCUUUCUCUAGCUCGCGAAACAUGAUCGAUGCUGGAUGGCCACGAGACUUGCUAGGCACGGCCUGCCCCAUCCAUCAGCUUGUGUGCUCUGCGAUCAGGAUGUCGAGGACAUUCACCAUCUACUUGUGGCAUGCCCCUUCUUCAAGGAAAUUUGGUACCGCACCUUCUCUUGGUGCCGCCUUACUACUGCUCCCCACCACCCCUUGUUAG